rnacentral:rRNA from 1 species
AAUAUUGGACAAUGGGGGCAACCCUGAUCCAGCCAUGCCUCGUGUGUGAAGAAGGUCUUCGGAUUGUAAAGCACUUUAAGUUGGGAGGAAGGGCUGUAGGUUAAUACCCUGAAGUUUUGACGUUACCAACAGUAUAAGCACCGGCUAACUCUGUGCCAGCAGCCGCGGUAAUACCGAGGGUGCAAGCCUUAAUCGGAAUUCCUGGCCGUAAAACGCGCGUAAGUGGUUCAGAAAGAUGGGUGUGAAAUCCCCGGGCUUAACCUGGGAACUGCUUUCAUAACUGCUGAGCUAGAGUACGGUAGAGGGUAGUGGAAUUUCCUGUGUAGCGGUGAAAUGCGUUGAUAUAGGAAGGAACACCAGUGGCGAAGGCGACUACAUGGACUGAUACUGACACUGAAGUGCGAAAGCGUGGGGAGCAAAC